GACGAACGCUGGCGGCGUGCCUAAUACAUGCAAGUCGAACGCAGUGGGGACGGGUGAGUAACACGUGGGUAACCUCCCAUCAGAGGGGAUAACACUUGGAAACAGGUCCUAAACCGAAACUGAUGGAUGAACCCGUGGUGCAUUUGCUAGUUGGUGAGGUAACGGCUCACCAAGGCCACGAUGCAUAGCCCACCUGAGAGUAUGACCCGCCACACUGGGACUGAGACACGGCCCAGACUCAUACGGGAGGCAGCAGUAGGUAAUCGUCGGCAAUGGACGAAAGGAUGAACGAGCAACGCAGCGUGAGUGAAGAAGGUUUUCGGAUCGGAAAGCUCUGUUGUUAGAGAAGCGGUAUAUAACCAAAAAGCCACGGCUAACUACGUGCCAGCAGACGCGGUAAUGC
rnacentral:rRNA from 1 species